rnacentral:rRNA from 1 species
UAGGGAAUCUUCGGCAAUGGACGAAAGUCUGACCGAGCAACGCCGCGUGAGUGAAGAAGGUUUUCGGAUCGUAAAACUCUGUUGUCAGAGAAGAACAAGGACGUUAGUAACUGAACGUCCCCUGACGGUAUCUAACCAGAAAGCCACGGCUAACUACGUGCCAGCAGCCGCGGUAAUACGUAGGUGGCAAGCGUUGUCCGGAUUUAUUGGGCGUAAAGCGAGCGCAGGCGGUUUCUUAAGUCUGAUGUGAAAGCCCCCGGCUCAACCGGGGAGGGUCAAUGGAAACUGGGAGACUUGAGUGCAGAAGAGGGGGGUGGAAUUCCAUGUGUAGCGGUGAAAUGCGUAGAUAUAUGAAGGAACACCGGUGGCGAAGGCGGCUCUCUAGUCUGUAACUGACGCUGAGGCACGAAGGCGUGGGGAGCAAACAGG